AUUGAACGCUGGCGGCAUGCCUUACACAUGCAAGUCGAACGGUAACGCGGGGCAACCUGGCGACGAGUGGCGAACGGGUGAGUAAAGCAUCGGAACGUGCCCAGUAGUGGGGGAUAGCCCGGCGAAAGCCGGAUUAAUACCGCAUACGACCUAUGGGUGAAAGGGGGGGAUCGCAAGACCUCUCGCUAUUGGAGCGGCCGAUGUCAGAUUAGGUAGUUGGUGGGGUAAAGGCCUACCAAGCCGACGAUCUGUAGCUGGUCUGAGAGGACGACCAGCCACACUGGGACUGAGACACGGCCCAGACUCCUACGGGAGGCAGCAGUGGGGAAUUUUGGACAAUGGGCGCAAGCCUGAUCCAGCCAUGCCGCGUGCGGGAAGAAGGCCUUCGGGUUGUAAACCGCUUUUGUCAGGGAAGAAAUCCUUUGGGUUAAUACCUCGGGGGGAUGACGGUACCUGAAGAAUAAGCACCGGCUAACUACGUGCCAGCCGCCGCCGUAA
rnacentral:rRNA from 1 species